UACCUGCAGCUCGAGUGGUAACCGCUAUUAUUGGGCCUAAAGCGUCCGUAGCCGGUUUGGUAAAUAUCUGGGUAAAUCGUGAGGCUUAACUUCACGAAUUUCGGAUAGACUGCCAGACUUGGGAUCGGGGGAGGUCAGAGGUACUCCAGGGGUAGCGGUGAAAUGUUGUAAUCCUUGGAGGACCACCGGUAGCGAAGGCGUCUGACUAGAACGAGUCCGACUGUGAGGGACGAAGCCCUGGGGCGCAAACCGGAUUAGAUACCCGGGUAGUCCAGGGUGUAAACGAUGUGGGCUUUGUAUUGGAGGUCCCACGUGGGCGUCCAGUGCAGAAGAGAAGUUGUUAAGCCCACCGCCUGGGAAGUACGGUCGCAAGGCUGAAACUUAAAGGAAUUGGCGGGGAGCACAGCAACGGGAGGAGCGUGCGGUUUA
rnacentral:rRNA from 1 species